rnacentral:lncRNA from 1 species
UUUUUUUUUUUUUUUUUUUUAACGGGUUUCUACAUUCUCCCCCUCUUAAUAGAAUUCGUCCUCGAAUUCUUAGUUGCGCAAUUGCUCAUCUUCGCGACAUUCUCCACUCGUCUCCAUAACCUCUUUACUCUGUCCACAAUCGUUCCUUAAGUGUCCUCCUCAAGGCCUCCACAAUCGUCUUCAGUUGAAUGAUCGCUGGGUCAUCUCUUACUGUUGCUCUGCCAUAAUCCCCAUGAUACGAACUUGUCCAGAUUCCUCAAAUCCUUCUCGAUCUUCCUUUUCCCAAGUACUGAUGAAGUCCUUUCCCAACGAAGUCUUGUUCCUCACCAUCUGUCCAGUCCAUACCACAGCCCAGUUCUCUGAAUCUGUCUCUCCUCUUUCGCUUCGGGUUUGAGUUUGGCCUCGAACUCCCUCUACUUUAAGGUUUUCAUCCCUUAAAGUUCCGAUCAACGAACACACUUACUCGCUGCAAUUCAAAAGAACACUUCACACACAAGUUAGUAGACAACUAAUCCCAACAGUCUACUAACAACAACCUAGCAAUGCUAAUCAAACAACCUAGCAAUGCUAACCAGCAACCUAACAGUGCUAACCAGCAACCUAGAAAUUCUAGAUUCCACUAUCUCAAUCGUAAUUCCUUAAACAAUAAAUCUUAUUGCUGGACGUGACCGGUUUCCCUAAUGCCUUUUGUGACUCAUUUUGACUCGAUAAAUAUUUAAAACCGAUUAAAUCAUGAGGUCCGGAAGCAUGGACGAAACCAUGCUCUGAUACCACCUCGGUAACACCCCCGAACCGUCCUAGGCAUAGGUCAACCCACCGGCCAACAAUCAAACAAGAACAUGACCGACGGACGACCCACACCCAGGGUUGGAGAUGAAAGGCCAACCGGCCAGCCAACAAUCAAACAAGAACAUGACUGACCGUCCAACCCAACACCAUGGUCCGGAAGCGCUACGUGACGGGUUAGGGACGAUCCGGCCAGAGUCACAAAAUUUACUCCACGACCUCGACCAGUUCGACCACUAACACGUCCGGCUGCGUCAAGGAACAAGGCUUUGCAACCUGUACCUAGAGUUAGCGUUUUCCGUUAGAUCGAGGCCUAAGGCUUUUCAACCCGUACCACGACCUAACGUUGUGUUAGACCGGACUAGUCAAAUAUCAGAGUACUCAUGAAGCGCAUAUAAAACAAUUACUUUUAUUGAUUUAAGAAAUAUUCAUACAUUGAAUAAUUCAAGACUGGGUCCGGCCUAAUGCCAAAUCGAGUCAACAUAACACAAUUCACAAUACCGUUUACAAAAGGCAUGAAAAUCUACACCGGCGGUCCUAACGUCCAGCACCAUGCUAUCCAAUCAUCCUUACCUAAAGCGACCUGCAAAAAGGACAACGGAGUUGGAUGAGUAAUCUAGUAUUACUCAGUGAGCUAGCGGCCUCUACCCGCAACCUAGACUCUAACCCAGACAACCCAAAAUAACAAUCAAUCUAGCCCUAGCAUGCAAUAUAAGCUAAGGCUAAGCAAACCGUUACUAAGUUAGACUUGGCCUCCUGCCAUGAUCUAGCUUCAAGUAACGGGAACCUGCAUAGAAGUCCCUCUCGAGCUCCCCUAUCGCGACCUCGAGUUUCGACACUUUCACGGAGUGAGAAUCCUUGACAGCCGUCAACAUGGCCUCAGUUUCAGACCAUCUACCCUGCAGCUCCAACAACUCCCCGGCGAGACGACUAGUCUCAGAACCGCACUCGCUGAUCAUCUCGUCGAUCAACGACAUGAACUGCAAAAUGAGAAGAAAGUUAGGAAUCCGUUGUCUUUCAGAGAAAUAUGUAACAAUCAAGAGAGUAAGCGAGCGACAAACCUUUCUGCGAAGCUCCGACUGUAACACCCCCGAACCGUCCUAGGCAUAGGUCAACCCACCGGCCAACAAUCAAACAAGAACAUGACCGACGGACGACCCACACCAAGGGUGGGAGAUGAAAGGCCAACCGGCCAGCCAACAAUCAAACAACAACAUGACUGACCGUCCAACCCAACACCAUGGUCCGGAAGCGCUACGUGACGAGUUAGGGACGAUCCGGCCAGAGUCACAAAAUUUACUCCACGACCUCGACCAGUUCGACCACUAACACGUCCGGCUGCGUCAAGGAACAAGGCUUUGCAACCUGUACCUAGAGUUAGCGUUUUCCGUUAGAUCGAGGCCUAAGGCUUUUCAACCCGUACCACGACCUAACGUUGUGUUAGACCGGACUAGUCAAAUAUCAGAGUACUCAUGAAGCGCAUAUAAAACAAUUACUUUUAUUGAUUUAAGAAAUAUUCAUACAUUGAAUAAUUCAAGACUGGGCCCCGGCCUAAUGCCAAAUCGAGUCAACAUAACACAAUUCACAAUACCGUUUACAAAAGGCAUGAAAAUCUACACCGGCGGUCCUAACGUCCAGCACCAUGCUAUCCAAUCAUCCUUACCUAAAGCGACCUGCAAAAAGGACAACGGAGUUGGAUGAGUAAUCUAGUAUUACUCAGUGAGCUGGCGGCCUCUACCCGCAACCUAGACUCUAACCCAGACAACCCAAAAUAACAAUCAAUCUAGCCCUAGCAUGCAAUAUAAGCUAAGGCUAAGCAAACCGUUACUAAGUUAGACUUGGCCUCCUGCCAUAAUCUAACUUCAAGUAACGGGAACCUGCAUUUAAACAAGUCAACAACCAAUCCCUAGUUAACCAUAUAUACGCUUGAGUUCAGUACUCAUGUAGUGUUAGACACUUAGACUAUACAAGUAUCAUGAGCCGGUCGACCAACAAUCAAACAAGAACAUGAUCGGCCAACCAAUGAUACCGCAUAGCUUUAAUAUCCACCACCCUUCACAAGCAAUCCCUCAAACACAUACAGGCCAACGUCAGGCCUACACUAACAAAAUACACACAAGCCUAAUCCGGUACCUAAACCAGACUUAGGACUUAAUGUCAGAACCUGCAAGCAAACAAUCAACAACCAAACACAAUCACAAUAAUAACAAGAUAGUAACUACCAAUGACUCGAUCUUACUCGUAACACCGUAUAUCGGUGCUACAUUAACUCGAGGGUUCCAUAACCCUCUACGACACACUAACACAACACUCUAACCUGGGCCCUGGUGACUUCGUGUUCCUCCUCUCUAUCGGCAAUAUCCUAUCUCCCUACCACAAAGGCCAAAAGAAGGAACUUUCAACCGACCGCGGCCCACAGUCCUUCGGGUCACCGCGCGACAGCCCACAGUCCUUCGGGUCACUGCCACAUUACACCGUCGUGUAAUCACUCAGCCAUAGGCCAUGACCCCGUCUAUCUGAGUCUUCCCGAUCCAGCGAAUAAGGGGUUUCCUUGAACCCGCUGAAUACGAGGGCGAGGAAACACUAGUCCACCCCAAAACAUGCCUAGCAUGGGCGGGUUUCGCACCUGCUGUCGGCAUAACACACACUCGACACAAUUAUCCCUAGGAAAGACCUAAGGGACAAGACUCCAACCCAAAACUAAACAAUAUAUAGGAGUCUACGAAAAUAUCAACCAAUACUCGUAGUCCAGCCUAUAUGGCAUAGGACCCGUAGUAUCAACAUCACAACCAGGAGAUCGGCCUAUAUGGCCAAGAUCCCUAAACAACAACAUUAACACUAAACAACUCAACCAGUUAGUCACUCCCUUACCAAGAGAUGACUAACCUCAAUCAACAAGAUUAAUUAAACGAGCAAGCAUUUAAUUAAAUCUACUCAAUCAAUCUACUCAAUCAAACCGUUACCCAGAUAGUUCGGCCUCCUGCUACGACACUAUCUUUAAAGAUAACGGGAACCUGCACUCAAUCAUAUCAACACACAAGAAUAGAAAACAUGAUGCAUCCUAGCCCUAGUCCUAGUCAGGUUAUCAACUCAGUCUUAAUUCCAUUCAUCUCAGCUUAGCCCUUGCUAAACUGAGUCCAGUUCCAUAAAUAAAUAACCCUAAGGACUCUACCAUUCAAUAGAUUGAUCAUUCCAAUCUAUAUGCUACUCGAUCUACCCUAAAUUCCAAAUGGAAUUCACACAAAACCAACUCACAGUGUUCUAGGCGAGAAGUAGCUGGUUGAUCGGAGAGGACUUGGCCAAAACCCAAGGGACGACUUGAAUGGAGUGGACUGGACUGAUCUCGACUUGGACUGAUCUUGACUUGGAAAGAACCUCGGCUUCACCAUGAAGAAACUGACAGGCCUCGACAAACUGAUCUGGACUCGGACAGAACCUCCUUUAGCUUCUGGACAGUUCUUCGGACUUCCCGGCGGAGUAUCGAGCAGAACUUCGACUGAUCUGAACCCGUAGAACUGAACUAACUCCGGACAGCAUCUCCACUUGAUCAUCAAAGGAACUGAGUGGCCUGGACGAAUUCAGUUGGACAGAACCGUCCCUAGGCGCUGACUCGAAAUCAGUAGAGAACUGACCUCGAAAACUCUCUAAAAUUCUCGAAAUAGCUCGGAAUCACUUGCUUUCUUUUUCUACUUCUCUCUCAUGUUUUUAACUUGGUUUGGACAGGUCUGGAUGUGAAGAAAUGAGCUGGGGUCGUGGGGUAUUUAUAGGAGACACCAGCCAAUCAGCUUCAGGUUGGUGGCAGCCCGUGUGUCGCUUCGCAUGGCUCCGGACGCAUGCGCGGCGGCACCUCGUGCUCCACAUGUCAGGCUGCAUGUCCAGGACACAUGCAGGACGCCACCACUCCUCCCACAUGUCAGGAUGCAUGCCUGGAGUGCAUGCAAGAAGCCACACCAGUACACACAUGUCGAUCAGCAUGCUUCGGUUGCAUGCGCGGAGACACCUCGUGCUUGGUCGAUCCACCUCGUGCUUCUACAUGUCAGGCUGCAUGUACAGCUUCCAUGCACGGCGACACCUCGAGCUUCUGGAGACACUCAGCUUGUUAGAUGCUUGACACCACGUUCUGAACCCAUGCAACAAGCCACCUCGGGCUUCUCGGUCGGUUUACGCGAUUUUUUACCCUUCCGGCAAAUUUCUGACCCGUGAUCAAUCCCGAAUAUUUUUCCGCUCCCGUUCUGAUGCUCUAAAUAUUUUUAAUAGACUCCAGAUGAAUUCUGAUAUCCUGUAAAAAUAUUUCCCGAGCCUCCGGCUUCCUCGAAGAAUUCCAUAAUACCGAAAUUAGGGUUUUCGCCCAAUUUCAGGUUUUCCCGUCGUGCUUCGAUCCCGUCGUGCUUGCUUCCCGUCGUGCUUAAUUCCCGUCCUGCUUCCAACUUAUGAUGUCUCCAGAAUAAUAUUUUACUGAUAUGAAGAUUUUCCGAGAAAACUUCGUGAUGAAGAAACGUCGGUCUUCAAAAACGUCGAGCUUCUAAACCGUCGUGCUUCCAAAAUUGUUAUGCUUCCAAAACGUCCGUCUGAUCAAUCUAAGACAUCUUCUAACUAUGGUCGAGCAACUUAUUCGACUCAUAGUUCACCCACGAUCACUUCUUCGACCACCUCGUUCUUCGAAAUUUCCCGAUCGAUCUUUACCGCCCACGAUUCGACCACCACAAAGACACUCGACCAUUCUCUUUUUCUUUUUUUUAACGGGUUUCUACAUUCUCCCCCUCUUAAUAGAAUUCGUCCUCGAAUUCUUAGUUGCGCAAUUGCUCAUCUUCGCGACAUUCUCCACUCGUCUCCAUAACCUCUUUACUCUGUCCACAAUCGUUCCUUAAGUGUCCUCCUCAAGGCCUCCACAAUCGUCUUCAGUUGAAUGAUCGCUGGGUCAUCUCUUACUGUUGCUCUGCCAUAA